GGAGUCUAGCAUGUGCGCGAGUCAUUGGGACUCUUAACGAAACCUAAAGGCGUAAUGAAAGUGAAGGUCCGCCCCGCGCGGAUCGAGGGAGGAUGGGCCGUCCCUAAAACUAGGGCGGUCCCGCACUCCACGGGCGUCUCGUUCUCAUCGCGAGAUGAGGCGCACCUAGAGCGUACACGCUGGGACCCGAAAGAUGGUGAACUAUGCCUGGUCAGGACGAAGUCAGGGGAAACCCUGAUGGAGGUCCGUAGCGAUUCUGACGUGCAAAUCGAUCGUCGGAACUGGGUAUAGGGGCGAAAGACUAAUCGAACCAUCUAGUAGCUGGUUCCCUCCGAAGUUUCCCUCAGGAUAGCUGGCGCUCGUAUUUUGCGAGUCUCAUUCGGUAAAGCGAAUGAUUAGAGGCAUUGGGGUCGAAACGGCCUCAACCUAUUCUCAAACUUUAAAUGGGUGAGAUCUCCGGCUUGCUUGAACUGUGAAGCCGCGAGAUAUCGGAUCAGAGUGCCAAGUGGGCCACUUUUGGUAAGCAGAACUGGCGCUGUGGGAUGAACCAAACGCAGAGUUAAAGCGCCUAAAUCGACGCUUAUGGGAUACCAUGAAAGGCGUUGGUAACUUAAGACAGCAGGACGGUGGCCAU
rnacentral:rRNA from 1 species